AUUGAACGCUGGCGGCAGGCCUAACACAUGCACGUCGAGCGGAGCGGCGAACGUGUGAGUAAUGCCUAGGAAUCUGCCUGGUCGUGGGGGAUAACGUCCGGAAACGGGCGCUAAUACCGCAUACUAUCAGAUGAGCCUAGGUCGGAUUAGCUAGUUGGGGGGGUAAAGGCCUACCAAGUCGACGAUCCGUAACUGGUCUGAGAGGAUGAUCAGUAACACUGGAACUGAGACACGGUCCAUACUCCUACGGGAGGCAGCAGUGGGGAAGAUUGGACAAUGGGCGAAAGCCUGAUCCAGCCAUGCCGCGUGUGUGAAGAAGGUAGUCGGAUUGUAAAGCACUGUAAGUUGGGAGGCGGUACCUACAGAAUAAGCACCGGCUAACUUCGUGCCAGCAGCCGCGGUAAUAC
rnacentral:rRNA from 1 species